AAUCUUUUAAACUCUUCUUGCGAUAGUUGCCCAGGAAGCACCAGUCAGACUGAUCAAAUCAAAACAAACAACAAACUCGCGAGGACGUAUUAGACAUCUGUCAACGAGCUAGAUCACAAAUGAAGGACAUCGAGGCGGAUGACAAGAGCCACAUGAGCGGCUCGGUGACGUCUGUACCAGAGAACUAUAGCAUCAUCAACAUGAGAGAAAUUCAUGAUGACUGUCUGAGCAAAGUCUGUCAAGGCAUCCAUACUGGAGAGAGGCCAUACAGCUGUGACCAGUGUGAGAAGAGUUUCCUCAGAAAAAGCGAUC